rnacentral:rRNA from 1 species
GACGAACGCUGGCGGCGUGCUUAACACAUGCAAGUCGAACGGAAAGGCCCUGCUUUUGUGGGGUGCUCGAGUGGCGAACGGGUGAGUAACACGUGAGUAACCUGCCCUUGACUUUGGGAUAACUUCAGGAAACUGGGGCUAAUACCGGAUAGGAGCUCCUGCUGCAUGGGGGGGGUUGGAAAGUUUCGGCGGUUGGGGAUGGACUCGCGGCUUAUCAGCUUGUUGGUGGGGUAGUGGCUUACCAAGGCUUUGACGGGUGGCCGGCCUGAGAGGGUGACCGGCCACAUUGGGACUGGGAUACGGCCAGAACUCCUAGGGGGGGCAGCAGUGGGGAAUAUUGCACAAUGGGCGGAAGCCUGAUGCAGCAACGCCGCGUGCGGGAUGACGGCCUUCGGGUUGUAAACCGCUUUCGCCUGUGACGAAGCGUGAGUGACGGUAAUGGGUAAAGAAGCACCGGCUAACUACGUG